rnacentral:rRNA from 1 species
UACAGAGGGUGCGAGCGUUAAUCGGAGUUACUGGGCGUAAAGGGCGCGUAGGCGGUUUGGUAAGAUUGAUGUGAAAUCCCUGGGCUUAACCUAGGAACUGCAUCGAUGACUGCCGAGCUGGAGUAUUGUAGAGGGUAGUGGAAUUUCCGGUGUAGCGGUGAAAUGCGUAGAGAUCGGAAGGAACACCAGUGGCGAAGGCGGCUACCUGGACAAAUACUGACGCUGAGGCGCGAGAGCGUGGGGAGCAAACAGG